AACAUACUUCCUCCGUUCGGAAAUAUUUGUCAUGAAAAAUGGAUGUAUCUAUAUGUAUUUUAGUUUUAAAAACAUUUAUUUUUAUUUAUGCAACAAAUAAUUUCGGACGGAAGAAGUAUUAG
rnacentral:pre_miRNA from 2 species